CAAUGUCCCAGUCCCUGGAGAGGUCUCACCCCUCACCGAGAUGCACUCAGGGCCUAUUAGUGAAGAUGAUGUCACCGUACAAUUUAGAAGAUUUAAAUUUCAGAUGCUCCAUCGUGGAUCAUUGUUGUCAACUUUCUUGCACAUUCAGCUUCUUCACUCAAAGGUCAUUAGCAAAUGCAGCCUCGAGGCAGCAGAGAACAUGCUGGUCAUUUGACUCAAAUGCAUAAGGGAAAUAUCUCCUGGCCUCGGAAGACAACUUUUGCUUUGAUUCCGUCUCCAGAUCUUUCAGCAAUGUGAGCACCUGCUGACAAGAACCAGCGAGCUGACACCACUGCGACUUGUUUGCAGUCCUUCCUUACAGUUUACCUAGAAAGAAGCAGUAAAGAAACCCAUGGGAUUCUUUUUCCGAAAUCCACAUAGACAAUAAAGGCAUUUAUCUAAAUAAUGUUUUGGCUUCACAAAACAUCAAUAAACACUUCAUGGAGAUUAAACUGACUGAAAAUCUUUUAUACUUGUCAACCCAUUUCUGUUG